GCAGCUGAAAUAAGUUGGGGGGGGGGGGAAACAGUUGUAAAACUGACAUGAGAAAUUAUUCUGCCUAUUCUGAAAUCUACAAUGUGCUCUUGGUAAAAAAACCAAUUAAUCUAUGCAAGGAUGCUCUGUAAGGUGCGUGGAUUCAAGUGGCUGGCAAACAGAACUGGAUACUAAGUGCUCCACCCACAGCUGCUUCUCUCUCUCUGUCUCAUGUAAGCUCUCCAUAAAUGGAAAACACCACACAAAGAGAGGCAAGGAAGAGGUGGGUGUAGUUCUGUGAAUGAUAGUUUCUAGCAUCCAAUGACGGAAUGGAUUUACCAGGGCUCUUUUUUUUACUUACAGAAGCUGUUUCGGUGCUUUAAAAAUAAACAAAACUCAGCUACUGCCCCCCACCCAACUGCCAAUAUUCUGGCACCAAUGGAAGACAUGGUGGUUUGCCCUGGUCUUUUCUGCAUUUUCAUGCAAGAUGUUUAUUUAUUUUAUUGCCACUUGUUGUAACUGAAUUGUGAACUGUUUUGUUGUUGCUGUUCUAGUGAUGUUAAUGAUGCCUUGGAUCCAAGGUGAAGUGUGAAGUGUCAAUAUGAACCAUCGAGAUGAAGCAAUCACAUAUCUGACUCAGUGAGGAUUCUAGUUACACUGGAGCCAGUUCUUGCAACAAAUUAGCACAGCUAUGAGGAAAUCUGCAAAGAAUGAGGAAGAAACACCCUGGACCGACCUGUUCCAUCUUGUGAACCUGGGGUCAUCUAAUUAAGCUGAAGAGUGGGAGAUUUAGGACAGACAAAAGGAAGCACUUCUCACAGUGCAUAGUUGAACGCUAUAAGAAAUAGAUAUGAACAACAGCUUGAAUGGUUUUAAAGAAUACUGGACAAAUUCAGAAAAGGUAAGAGCUAUCAAUGGCUACUAGCGUAUUCCAGCAUGCAUUUGUUGUAAAGUGAAGUGGCUUUGUUCACUGCCAUUCCAUUUCCACCCAAUACAUGCCACAUCCUAAAAAACCCUGCAAAGUCCAUAGGGCCAUAGUGCAAAUGACAUUGAGAAAUGACAAAUGCCUAUUGCAUCAAUUAAUCCAGUAAGUCUGUAGUUUAAACUCAAAUGUCAUACAUUAAAAACUCAGGGUAAUGACCUCUAACACAUACAAAAUGUCUCUGGAAAAAUCCCCACAAACUGUUUUAUGAUUUUUGUGGGUCCCCCCCCAUUCUUCUGUAUACAACUCAGUAUGUUUUGAAAUAACAAUUAGAAGAAUUAAUCAAGCACAUUCUGAAAGAGCACACCUCAGAUUUCAAAUUGAUUUAUAACACUUUGAAUUUACAUGCAAUUCACAAUAACUAAAAUAUGUUGUAUUGUUGUUUAAAAGUUGAAAAAUGAACUCCCCGCCACAUCCUAUGAUCCUUAUUCAAUAUUCAAUACUCUGGCAAAUUGUUGUGGAAGACUAUUCAUAAUUUAGGUUGAGAAUACUUCUUAAAAUAAAAUAAUAUCAAAACAAUUGUUUAUUUAAUUUAAAAAAUAAUUUAACUAAAUAUCUGAAGUGUUGCAGUCCUUUCAAACUGAUAAACCACACUUUUAUUGAUUUUGAUGUUAGGUUCACGCUCAUGAUACAUGAAUUUUUGCAUAAAGCUAAUGGCAUAACCAACCAUGUCUUCUGAUUUUUUUUAAAAAAAAUCAACUAAAUAACUUUUUCCUAAAAUUUUGUAUAACUUUAUAAUACACUUGUUUAAAUAUUUGUCACCAGUAACCUGCUUUAUAAUACACUUGUUUAAAUAUUUGUCACCAGUAACCUGCUUUGUAUUCUAGAGUUUUUAAAAUAGAGCAAGAAAUAUGCAAAUCUAAUACUUACUGUGUUUGUGUAACUGACAAGGACCGUCUAAUGAUUGAAUGAACUUGUCUGUAGACAUCAAGUUUGGACAUGCAUCGGCAGGAUGUAUGAUUCGCGAAACUGAUUGUUACGGGUUUGGGACCAUGAGACAGUGGCACAGUUAUUUCAAAUAACUACACAAAAAUAAAAGGGGGGGGGAAACAGAAACAAAUUUUUAUUAAAAGCAAAAAUGAGAGCAAUGUUUUAGUGUGCUGCUUAUAAUGUUUUUUAAAUGCUUUUAACUGUUUUAGAUUAAACUGUUUCAGAAUGCUUAAAUAAACCUGUGGAUGUGUUUGAUGCUCUGGACUCCUUUGGAAGAACGAACAGUAUAUAUCUACCUCUCUUUUAAAUCAGAACCAGUGACGGCAGUGAGUGUCUGGAGGUAGUUGGAAGCUAACAGAUUGAGGGUGAAUCCUGACAAGACAGAAAUACUGUUCUUUAGGGACUGUUGUGGGUGGGUGUGGGGUACUCCCUCUUCCUGAAGGACCAGGUGCGCAACCUGGGAGUCAUAGCUGUUCAUGGAGGUGCAGGUCAAUUCUGUGUCUAUGGCAACUGUCUAUCAGCUCCAUCUGGUACACAGGCUGAGACCCUACCUGCCCGUGGACUAUCUCGCCAGAGUGGUGCAUGCCCUGGUUAUCUCCCACUUGGACUACUGCAAAGCGCUCUACAUGGGCUUACCUUUGAAGGUGACCCGGAAACCACAACUAAUCCAGAAUGCGACAGCUAGACUGGUGACUGGGAGUGGCUGCUGGGACCAUACAACCUGGUCCUAACGAAUUUUCACUGGCUCCUAGUAUGUUUCUGAGCACAAUUCAAAGUGUUGGUGCUGACCUUUAAAGCCCUAAACGGCCUUUGCUCAAUACACCUGAAGUAGCAUCUCCACCCCCAUCGCUCAGCCCAGGCACUGAGGUCCUCCUCCGAGGGUCUUCUGCUGGUUCCCUCACUGCAAGAAGCAAAAUUAUAGGGAACCAGACAGAGGGCCUUCUUGGUAGUGGCUCCCUCCCUGUGGAAUGCCCUCCCUUCAGAUGUCAAGGAAAUAAAGAACUAUGCAACUUUUAGAAGAUAUCUGAAGGCAGCCCUGUACUGUGAGGUUUUUAAAGUUUGAUGUUUUUAUACAUGCUGUAGGCCACCCAGAGUGCCUGGGGAAACCCAGACAGAUACAUGGGGUAUAAAUAAUAAAAUUAUUGUUUGUUGUUAAUUCUUUUGUGGUAUGGAUGAGAGGGGUAAGUUCUUUAACCAAGGUGGCAGAAUAAUUUGUGCAUGAGGUUGCUUAUAAAAGUGAGGAAUAUACUAAUGUAGCACCAUUAACUUUCACUUGUUCAGUAAAUAGGUCCUCUCCCUACCUAAGAACUAAUAACCAAGCAUUCACUUAUAUGGGAGAAAUAAAAUGUAUGUUGCUCUGCUUGAGCUAGAGCCCAGCCUAAUGAAUUGCUAUGAACAGGACAAAAUGAAAACAUACAGAAAUAGAAGCCUGUAUGUUUGAAGGCUUUUCCUUUUCCUUCAAGUGUUUGCUUGGUCACAUGGUAGCCAGAGGAAGGGGCUACUCAGUGUGACCCUGCUUAUUACUCGUGUGCUAGUAUUAAUAAUAAAACGAGGCUCUCAUUUGGUCCCAAAAUAAUGAUAUAGUGCUGGGAGAUUGGGACAGAAUGCUGGGAUUCUUAUUAUAUUUUACAAUGUAAACAACAGAACAAUGUAUUCCUUUUAAAGCAGAUCCAAAUCUCAGUGCAUAUUUCAAUCACAUGCAGGCACUGAGAGCUUAAAACAAACCCAGAAUGUAGCUGAGAUAACAACCUACCGUUUUACUGAUGAAGCUUGUGCUGAUAUUCAUACACUGCAGCCCUUCACUAUUGCAGCAACCUCCACAUCUGUAGAUGGACACACAUGGAGGUUUAAAGAAGGUGUUUGUUGUUGCUCCAUACUCUUUCCCCACAUCUACACAUACCUCACGUGGCAUGCAUUGAGUUUUUCUCCACUCAUUAUCAAUACCUGCCAAGUUACAGGGAAAGCUCAUAAGUUAUAACACAGGUUUUCUUAAUAGUUCAAAAUCAGAUUCCCCUGAAAGUAGUUAAAACUUGCUUAUUAAAUGGACCAUGUUUAUCUAGAAACUGAGUUCUGUAAAAAGCAAACACAACAAGAGCCAAAAAAAUAUCAAAAAAUCAGAGUUCUUUAAUGCUAGUUCUCUAAGAGUAGUCUUAUUACCAGGGCUUAUCCACACUAACCUCCAGAGCUUUCCCUGUGCAAACCCACUGUUUAAAGGUGAAUUGUGGAAAACCUGGAUUGUCAUUUGUUGUGCUUCAGCUUUAAAAGUGGGGUUUUUUGGUGGGGAAAACUCCAGGGUGAAAGAAGAGCACUUGGAGCUUUAAAGCAUGGACCUGUACCUGGAAACAAAAAGUUAAGUGGGGAUAAGUCCUUAGGUAUGCCUGAGCCACUGGUGCAAAUGCUUUGUUGAGCAGGCUAGAAAAGGCACCGAGGAUCUAAAGAAGGGCAGAGCAAGCAGGGGUUGGGGCUUGCAGAUGGAUUUAGGGAAGAAUAGGAAGAA